GACGAACGCUGGCGGCGUGCCUAAUACAUGCAAGUAGAACGCUGAAGGAGGAGCUUGCUUCUCUGGAUGAGUUGCGAACGGGUGAGUAACGCGUAGGUAACCUGCCUGGUAGCGGGGGAUAACUAUUGGAAACGAUAGCUAAUACCGCAUAAUAUUGACUAUUGCAUGAUAGUCAGUUGAAAGGUGCAACUGCACCACUACCAGAUGGACCUGCGUUGUAUUAGCUAGUUGGUGGGGUAACGGCUCACCAAGGCGACGAUACAUAGCCGACCUGAGAGGGUGAUCGGCCACACUGGGACUGAGACACGGCCCAGACUCCUACGGGAGGCAGCAGUAGGGAAUCUUCGGCAAUGGACGGAAGUCUGAACGAGCAACGCCGCGUGAGUGAAGAAGGUUUUCGGAUCGUAAAGCUCUGUUGUAAGAGAAGAACGAGUGUGAGAGUGGAAAGCUCACACUGUGACGGUAGCUUACCAGAAAGGGACGGCUAACUACGUG
rnacentral:rRNA from 1 species